rnacentral:rRNA from 1 species
GUGCCAGCAGCCGCGGUAAUACGUAGGUGGCAAGCGUUAUCCGGAAUUACUGGGCGUAAAGCGCACGCAGGCGGUCUUUUAAGUUUGACGUGAAAGCUCCCGGCUUAACUGGGAGAGGUCGUUGAAUACUGGAAGACUUGAGGCAAUGAGAGGGGUGUAGAAUUCCCGGUGUAGUGGUGGAAUGCGUAGAUAUCGGGGGGAAUACCAGUGGCGAAAGCGGCACCCUAGCGUUAGCCUGACGCUCAUGUGCGAAAGCGUGGGGAGCGAACGGGAUUAGAUACCCCGGUAGUCC